rnacentral:rRNA from 1 species
UUUCAUGGAGAGUUUGAUCCUGGCUCAGGACGAACGCUGGCGGCGUGCUUAACACAUGCAAGUCGAACGGAAAGGCCCCUUCGGGGGUACUCGAGUGGCGAACGGGUGAGUAACACGUGGGUGAUCUGCCCCCAACUUUGGGAUAAGCCUGGGAAACUGGG